GAAGUAAUGGUUCAGUAGUUAAGAACACUGGCUUUUAUUUCAGAGGACCUGGGUUCAAUUACCAGCCCCUUCA
rnacentral:tRNA from 1 species